rnacentral:rRNA from 1 species
AACGAACGCUGGCGGCGUGGAUAAGACAUGCAAGUCGAACGGGAUUAUUUUGUAGCAAUACAGAAAUAAUUCAGUGGCGAACGGGUGCGUAACACGUGGGCAAUCUGCCGAAAAGUGGGGAGUAGCUCGCCGAAAGGACGAAUUAAUACCGCAUGUGGUGAGGACGACAUCUUCCUGAAUCCAAAGCCGGGGCGAACCUGGCGCUUUUGUAGGAGCCCGCGGCCUAUCAGCUUGUUGGCGGGUAACGGCCCACCAAGGCUAUGACGGUAGCUGGUCUGAGAGGACGACCAGUCACACUGGAACUGAGACACGGUCCAGACACCUACGGGUGGCA